GCGGCAGGCUUAACACAUGCAAGUCGAGGGGUAGCAGGAUUUAGUUUACUAGAUUGCUGACGACCGGCGCACGGGUGAGUAACGCGUAUACAAUUUGCCUUUUACUGGAGGAUAGCCAAGAGAAAUUUUGAUUAAUACUCCAUAGUAUUAUUAGAUCUCCUGAUUUGAUAAUUAAAGCUCCGGCGGUAAAAGAUGAGUAUGCGUCCUAUUAGCUAGAUGGUAAGGUAACGGCUUACCAUGGCGACGAUAGGUAGGGGUCCUGAGAGGGAGAUCCCCCACACUGGUACUGAGACACGGACCAGACUCCUACGGGAGGCAGCAGUGAGGAAUAUUGGGCAAUGGAGGCAACUCUGACCCAGCCAUGCCGCGUGCAGGAAGACUGCCCUAUGGGUUGUAAACUGCUUUUAUACAGGAAGAAACUUAUCCACGUGUGGAUAACUGACGGUACUGUAAGAAUAAGGACCGGCUAACUCCGUGCCAGCAGCCGCGGUAAUACGGAGGGUCCAAGCGUUAUCCGGAAUCAUUGGGUUUAAAGGGUCCGUAGGCGGGCAAUUAAGUCAGAGGUGAAAUCCCACAGCUCAACUGUGGAACUGCCUUUGAUACUGGUUGUCUUGAGUUAUAGUGAAGUAGAUAGAAUAUGUAGUGUAGCGGUGAAAUGCAUAGAUAUUACAUAGAAUACCGAUUGCGAAGGCAGUCUACUAACUGUACACUGACGCUAAUGGACGAAAGCGUGGGGAGCGAACAGGAUUAGAUACCCUGGUAGUCCACGCCGUAAACGAUGUCACUAGUUGUUGGGGCUUUAUGCCUCAGUGAUUAAGAGAAAUUGAUAAGUGACCCA
rnacentral:rRNA from 1 species